ensembl:snRNA U6 U6 spliceosomal RNA
GUGCUCACUUCGGCAGCACACAUAUUAAAAUUGGAAUGAUACAAAGGAGAUUAAAGUGGCCCCUGCACAAGGGAUACAUCGGAAAGGAGGACACAGCCCCUGACUAU